rnacentral:rRNA from 1 species
GAAUUCGCCCUUAGAGUUUGAUCCUGGCUCAGGACGAACGCUGGCGGCGUGCCUAACACAUGCAAGUCGAACGAGUGAGAGAGAGCUUGCUUUCUCGAGCGAGUGGCGAACGGGUGAGUAACGCGUGAGGAACCUGCCUCAAAGAGGGGGACAACAGUUGGAAACGACUGCUAAUACCGCAUAAGCCCACAGGUCGGCAUCGACCAGUGGGAAAAGGAGCAAUCCGCUUUGAGAUGGCCUCGCGUCCGAUUAGCUAGUUGGUGAGGUAAUGGCCCACCAAGGCGACGAUCGGUAGCCGGACUGAGAGGUUGAACAGCCACAUUGGGACUGAGACACGGCCCAGACUCCUACGGGAGGCAGCAGUGGGGAAUAUUGCACAAUGGGGGAAACCCUGAUGCAGCGACGCCGCGUGGAGGAAGAAGGUCUUCGGAUUGUAAACUCCUGUUGUUGAGGAAGAUAAUGACGGUACUCAACAAGGAAGUGACGGCUAACUACGUGCCAGCAGCCGCGGUAAAACGUAGGUCACAAGCGUUGUCCGGAAUUACUGGGUGUAAAGGGAGCGCAGGCGGGAAGACAAGUUGGAAGUGAAAUCUAUGGGCUCAACCCAUAAACUGCUUUCAAAACUGUUUUUCUUGAGUAGUGCAGAGGUAGGCGGAAUUCCCGGUGUAGCGGUGGAAUGCGUAGAUAUCGGGAGGAACACCAGUGGCGAAGGCGGCCUACUGGGCACCAACUGACGCUGAGGCUCGAAAGUGUGGGUAGCAAACCAGGAUUAGAUACCCUGGUAGUCCACACCGUAAACGAUGAUUACUAGGUGUUAGAGGAUUGACCCCUUCAGUGCCGCAGUUAACACAAUAAGUAAUCCACGUGGGGGAGUACGACCGCAAGGUUGAAACUCAAAGGAAUUGACGGGGGCCCGCACAAGCAGUGGAGUAUGUGGUUUAAUUCGACGCAACGCGAAGAACCUUACCAAGUCUUGACAUCCUGCGACGAUGCUGGAAACAGUAUUUUCCUUCGGGACGCAGAGACAGGUGGUGCAUGGUUGUCGUCAGCUCGUGUCGUGAGAUGUUGGGUUAAGUCCCGCAACGAGCGCAACCCUUACUGUCAGUUACUACGCAAGAGGACUCUGGCAGGACUGCCGUUGACAAAACGGAGGAAGGUGGGGAUGACGUCAAAUCAUCAUGCCCUUUAUGACUUGGGCUACACACGUACUACAAUGGCGUUAAACAAAGAGAAGCAAGACCGCGAGGUGGAGCAAAACUCAGAAACAACGUCCCAGUUCGGACUGCAGGCUGCAACUCGCCUGCACGAAGUCGGAAUUGCUAGUAAUCGUGGAUCAGCAUGCCACGGUGAAUACGUUCCCGGGCCUUGCACUCACCGCCCGUCA